rnacentral:tRNA from 1 species
GGCUAUAUAGCUCAGUGGUAAAGUGCUUGCCUUGCAUGCAUGAGGCACUGAGUUUGAUCCUCAGCACCA